rnacentral:rRNA from 1 species
GAUGAACGCUGGCGGCAUGCCUAAUACAUGCAAGUCGAACGAGAGGAAGGAAAGCUUGCUUUCCUGAAUCUAGUGGCGAACGGGUGAGUAACACGUAGGUAACCUGCCCAUGUGCCCGGGAUAACUUCUGGAAACGGAUGCUAAAACCGGAUAGGUAGCAGACAAGCAUUUGACUGCUAUUAAAGUGGCCUUGGCCAUGAACAUGGAUGGACCUGCGGUGCAUUAGCUAGUUGGUGAGGUAACGGCCCACCAAGGCGACGAUGCAUAGCCGGCCUGAGAGGGCGGACGGCCACAUUGGGACUGAGGCGCGGCCCAAACUCCUACGGGAGGCAGCAGUAGGGAAUUUUCGUCAAUGGGGGGAACCCUGAACGAGCAAUGCCGCGUGAGUGAGGAAGGUCUUCGGAUCGUAAAGCUCUGUUGUAAGAGAAAAACGGCACUCAUAGGGAAUGAUGAGUGAGUGAUGGUAUCUUACCAGAAAGUCACGGCUAACUACGUGCCAGCAGCCGCGGUAACAC